rnacentral:rRNA from 1 species
GACGGAGGGCGCUAGCGUUGUUCGGAAUCACUGGGCGUAAAGGGCGCGUAGGCGGCCAUGUAAGUCGGGGGUGAAAGCCCGGGGCUCAACCCCGGAACGGCCUUCGAGACUGCGUGGCUGGAGACCGGAAGAGGAGGGUGGAAUACCCAGUGUAGAGGUGAAAUUCGUAGAUAUUGGGUGGAACACCGGUGGCGAAAGCGGCUCUCUGGUCCGGUUCUGACGCUGAGGAGCGAAAGCGUGGGGAGCAAACAGG